rnacentral:lncRNA from 1 species
AAGAAAGAAAUGUUUCUCAUUGAGACUGUUUCUAAAGCGAAGUCCCCAGGAAGUUAAACAGAGUGAUCUUUCUAUUUCUAUACACUUCUUCCCCAUCCCACACAUCGGCCUUGUUCCAGUGCCCAAGAUUUUUUAAGUGCAUCAUCUGUCUGUCACAAAAUUAUCUAUUUAGUUGUUCCUUGAAUAUUUGCACGUCACCUGCUCAUGUCCAUGCAAUAAUUACCUGUCUUCAAUAUGAAGUCCCUUAAGGAUGGUGCUCAUAACUGUCAACUGAAAUAUGUCACAAAGCCAGCAAAAGUUGUAACUAAGAUGGGAAAGCAAGGCAGUGUUUUGUGAUCUUUCCAUACACCAGGCACCCGCUUCCUUGCUCCUGUGACAAAAGAAGCCCAGGGCCCCAAGUAACUUUGUGCAUUUCAUGGGGGAUCAUGGUGGUAAGGGCUCCUUAAACAAUGAAUGCAAUGAACAUACCACCACAUCCUUUAACAGGCUGUACCGGUAAUAGUGGAGAGGAUGCCUGCUUCUGAAUAUCACCCAACUUAGCUUCAUUCCACAUCUAUGAUCUGUCGAAAUAAUGCACUAGACACUGAGCUGCUAUUUAAACAAAUAACCACUGUUGUUAAUAACAUCUUACACUUAAGUGCCGCUUUGUAUUUUCUAAGUGCUUUCAUAGACCAUCACAUUUGAUCCUCAAAGCAUUGCUGUAAGAUAAUUGAUAUUACUCUGUUUUACAGAUAGCUCAAAAACACCCCACAUGAUUUCUCUAGCUGCUCUAUCAACUAGGGGCACAUGGCUGAUCUUCUCUCUACCUCUAUUGAAAUGAAGUUUGGGAAUAAACAUCUUGCCUCAUUUAAAUCCCAAGCGCAGCUUCCUUUUAUAGUGGUGGUAAAAAGUAUUUUGUGAAUUCUUGAGGUGUUUACAAUGUAUGUUUUGCUGCUCUUUUAUUCUGAGGAUGAAUCUGACUAUGACUCUAGCUUGUACGUGGCUGAAAAUACCAAUAAGAGGCAUCUCUUUGCUGCACAGGGAGAGCCUAACCAUCCUUUGGGGACCCCGUUGCAGGCUCAAAGGGGUACCAUGUCCCAGACCACUAGCACAAAGUCCAGGAGUCUAAAGGCAUGA